rnacentral:rRNA from 1 species
GAUGAACGCUAGCGGCAGGCCUAAUACAUGCAAGUCGAGGGGCAGCACGGUAGCAAUACUGGUGGCGACCGGCGCACGGGUGCGUAACGCGUAUACAACUUACCCUUUACAGGGAGAUAGCCCGGAGAAAUUCGGAUUAAUAUCCCAUAGUAUAUAGAUUUGGCAUCAGAUUUAUAUUAAAGAUUUAUCGGUAAAGGAUGGGCAUGCGUGUCACUAGCUAGUUGGUGAGGUAAUGGCUCACCAAGGCGACGAUGACUAGGGGUACUGAGAGGUUACACCCCCACACUGGUACUGAGACACGGACCAGACUCCUACGGGAGGCAGCAGUAAGGAAUAUUGGACAAUGGGCGAGAGCCUGAUCCAGCCAUGCCGCGUGCAGGAUGACGGUCCUAUGGAUUGUAAACUGCUUUUGUAUGGGAAUAAACCCAGAUACGUGUAUCUGGCUGAAUGUACCAUAAGAAUAAGGAUCGGCUAACUCCGUGCCAGCAG